rnacentral:rRNA from 1 species
CCUACGGGAGGCAGCAGUGAGGAAUAUUGGUCAAUGGACGGAAGUCUGAACCAGCCAUGCCGCGUGCAGGAAGACGGCUCUAUGAGUUGUAAACUGCUUUUGUACAAGGGUAAACCUGAAUACGUGUAUUCAGCUGAGAGUACCCGGAGAAAAAGCAUCGGCUAACUCCGUGCCAGCAGCCGCGGUAAUACGGAGGAUGCGAGCGUUAUCCGUAUUUAUUGGGUUUAAGGGGUGCGUAGGCGGAUCGUUAAGUCAGUGGUAAAAUUGCGGGGCUCAACCCCUUCCCGCCAUUGAAACUGGCGCUCUUGAGUGGAAGAGAAGUAUGCGGAAUGCGUGGUGGAGCGGUGAAAUGCAUAGAUAUCACGCAGAACCCCGAUUGCGAAGGCAGCAUGCCGGCUUCCGACUGACGCUGAAGCACGAAAGCGUGGGGAUCGAACAGGAUUAGAUACCCCUGUAGUC